UGAAACGCGAAUUAAGCUAUAAUCAUUGUUCAAACGCCUGUCAAAUACUCGGUCAACUAAUCGGUAUAUAUCGGCGAAUUAACUUAAGGAAAACAAUUAUUUUCUACGUGAAACUACAUUUUGGUUCUUUAAAGCUUACAUAGCUGUCUAUUAUUAUCACCAAGAAGAUACUGGUCAAAGUUCAAUAACAAAUAAAAACACUUCUGUGCGG